CAAACUUGGCGGCGGCUAACACAUGCAAGUCGAGCGGUAGCACAGAGAGCUUGCUCUCGGGUGACGAGCGGCGGACGGGUGAGUAAUGUCUGGGAAACUGCCUGAUGGAGGGGGAUAACUACUGGAAACGGUAGCUAAUACCGCAUAAUGUCGCAAGACCAAAGUGGGGGACCUUCGGGCCUCAUGCCAUCAGAUGUGCCCAGAUGGGAUUAGCUAGUAGGUGGGGUAACGGCUCACCUAGGCGACGAUCCCUAGCUGGUCUGAGAGGAUGACCAGCCACACUGGAACUGAGACACGGUCCAGACUCCUACGGGAGGCAGCAGUGGGGAAUAUUGCACAAUGGGCGCAAGCCUGAUGCAGCCAUGCCGCGUGUGUGAAGAAGGCCUUCGGGUUGUAAAGCACUUUCAGCGGGGAGGAAGGCGGUGAGGUUAAUAACCUUGUCGAUUGACGUUACCCGCAGAAGAAGCACCGGCUAACUCCGUGCCAGCAGCCGCGGUAAUACGGAGGGUGCAAGCGUUAAUCGGAAUUACUGGGCGUAAAGCGCACGCAGGCGGUCUGUCAAGUCGGAUGUGAAAUCCCCGGGCUCAACCUGGGAACUGCAUUCGAAACUGGCAGGCUAGAGUCUUGUAGAGGGGGGUAGAAUUCCAGGUGUAGCGGUGAAAUGCGUAGAGAUCUGGAGGAAUACCGGUGGCGAAGGCGGCCCCCUGGACAAAGACUGACGCUCAGGUGCGAAAGCGUGGGGAGCAAACAGGAUUAGAUACCCUGGUAGUCCACGCCGUAAACGAUGUCGAUUUGGAGGUUGUGCCCUUGAGGCGUGGCUUCCGGAGCUAACGCGUUAAAUCGACCGCCUGGGGAGUACGGCCGCAAGGUUAAAACUCAAAUGAAUUGACGGGGGCCCGCACAAGCGGUGGAGCAUGUGGUUUAAUUCGAUGCAACGCGAAGAACCUUACCUGGUCUUGACAUCMMCAGAACUUUCCAGAGAUGGAUUGGUGCCUUCGGGAACUGUGAGACAGGUGCUGCAUGGCUGUCGUCAGCUCGUGUUGUGAAAUGUUGGGUUAAGUCCCGCAACGAGCGCAACCCUUAUCCUUUGUUGCCAGCGGUUAGGCCGGGAACUCAAAGGAGACUGCCAGUGAUAAACUGGAGGAAGGUGGGGAUGACGUCAAGUCAUCAUGGCCCUUACGACCAGGGCUACACACGUGCUACAAUGGCAUAUACAAAGAGAAGCGACCUCGCGAGAGCAAGCGGACCUCAUAAAGUAUGUCGUAGUCCGGAUUGGAGUCUGCAACUCGACUCCAUGAAGUCGGAAUCGCUAGUAAUCGUAGAUCAGAAUGCUACGGUGAAUACGUUCCCGGGCCUUGUACACACCGCCCGUCACACCAUGGGAGUGGGUUGCAAAAGAAGUAGGUAGCUUAACCUUCGGGAGGGCGCUACCACUUGGAUCAGGGG
rnacentral:rRNA from 1 species